rnacentral:tRNA from 1 species
GGGUGGGUGGCUCAGCGGUUAGAGCCUAGGGCUUGGGAGCGAAAGCUCCCGGGUUCGAAUCUCAUGUAACCG